rnacentral:rRNA from 1 species
AGACGGAGGAGGCUAGCGUUGUUCAGAAUUACUGGGCGUAAAGCGUACGCAGGCGGUUGAUCAAGUCAGGUGUGAAAGCCCGGGGCUCAACCUCGGAAUUGCGCCUGAGACUGGUCAGCUAGAGUUCGGAAGAGGAGAGUGGAAUUCCCAGUGUAGAGGUGAAAUUCGUAGAUAUUGGGAAGAACACCAGUGGCGAAGGCGACUCUCUGGUCCGAUACUGACGCUCAAGUACGAAAGCGUGGGGAGC